AGUGAACGCUGGCGGUAGGCCUAACACAUGCAAGUCGAACGGCAGCACAGUAAGAGCUUGCUCUUACGGGUGGCGAGUGGCGGACGGGUGAGGAAUACAUCGGAAUCUACUUUUUCGUGGGGGAUAACGUAGGGAAACUUACGCUAAUACCGCAUACGACCCACGGGUGAAAGCAGGGGAUCUUCGGACCUUGCGCGAUUGAAUGAGCCGAUGUCGGAUUAGCUAGUUGGCGGGGUAAAGGCCCACCAAGGCGACGAUCCGUAGCUGGUAUGAGAGGAUGAUCAGCCACACUGGAACUGAGACACGGUCCAGACUCCUACGGGAGGCAGCAGUGGGGAAUAUUGGACAAUGGGCGCAAGCCUGAUCCAGCCAUACCGCGUGGGUGAAGAAGGCCUUCGGGUUGUAAAGCCCUUUUGUUGGGAAAGAAAAGCAGCAGGUUAAUACCCCGCUGUUCUGACGGUACCCAAAGAAUAAGCACCGGCUAACUUCGUG
rnacentral:rRNA from 1 species